GACUGUUUACCAAAGACAUAGCCCCAGAUGAAAUCUGAGGUGUAACCUGCCCAGUGGUCUUUAUUAAAUCAUAUAACACGUGAAAAAUAGGAUUAAAAGGACGCGGUAACCUUGACCGUGAUAAUGUAGCAUAAUCAUUCGCCAUUUAAUUGAUGGAUAGUAUGAAUGGUUGAACGAAUAUCCCACUGUCUUAAUAAAAUUACGAAAAACUGAAUUAUUAGUUAAGAUGCUAAUUAAAACUGUAAGACGAAAAGACCCUAUAGAGCUUAACUAUAAUCUUUCUUUAAAACAUAAAAAAUAAGUUUUGAUUUUAGAAAGAGUGGUAGUUUAGUUGGGGCGACUAUCUUCUAAAGCGAACGAAGAGAUGCAAAGUUAAUAAAAAUUUAUUGUAUAAUUAAAUUAUUUAACAAUUAUUAAUGUAGGCUAUAAUGACCCGUUAAUUCUUGAAAACAAAGACUAACGAUCAAUUGAUAAAAGCUACCUUAGGGAUAACAGGAUAAUUUCAUUUUAGAGCUCAUAUCGAAAAUGAAGUUUGUCACCUCUAUGUUGAAUUAAGAUAUCCUGGUAAUGCAGAAGUUACCAAUGGUAGGUCUGUUCGACCUUUAAAAUCUUACAUGAUUUGAGUUCAUUCCGUCGCAAGACAGGAAGGUUUCUAUCUUGAAGAUAAGAGAG
rnacentral:rRNA from 1 species